rnacentral:rRNA from 1 species
GUGUCAGCCGCCGCGGUAAGACGAACCGAGCGAACGUUGUUCGGAAUCACUGGGCUUAAAGGGCGCGUAGGCGGGCUGCCAAGUCCGGGGUGAAAUCCUCCCGCUUAACGGGAGAAGGGCCUGGGAUACUGGCGGUCUGGAGGGAGAUAGGGGCACGCGGAACUAUGGGUGGAGCGGUGAAAUGCGUUGAUAUCCAUAGGAACUCCGGUGGCGAAGGCGGCGUGCUGGAUCUCAUCUGACGCUGAGGCGCGAAAGCCAGGGGAGCGAACGGGAUUAGAAACCCGCGUAGUCC